rnacentral:rRNA from 1 species
UACGGAGGGUGCGAGCGUUAAUCGGAGUAACUGGGCGUAAAGGGCACGCAGGCGGGUUUUUAAGUGAGGUGUGAAAUCCCCGGGCUUAACCUGGGAAUAGCAUUUCAGACUGGGAGUCUAGAGUACUUUAGGGAGGGGUAGAAUUCCACGUGUAGCGGUGAAAUGCGUAGAGAUGUGGAGGAAUACCGAAGGCGAAGGCUGCCCCUUGGGAAUGUACUGACGCUCAUGUGCGAAAGCGUGGGGAGCAAAUGGG